CCUACGGGUGGCUGCAGUGGGGAAUAUUGCACAAUGGGCGCAAGCCUGAUGCAGCCAUGCCGCGUGUGUGAAGAAGGCCUUCGGGUUGUAAAGCACUUUCAGCGGGGAGGAAGGCGUUAAGGUUAAUAACCUUGGCGAUUGACGUUACCCGCAGAAGAAGCACCGGCUAACUCCGUGCCAGCAGCCGCGGUAAUACGGAGGGUGCAAGCGUUGAUCGGAAUUACUGGGCGUAAAGCGCACGCAGGCGGUCUGUCAAGUCGGAUGUGAAAUCCCCGGGCUCAACCUGGGAACUGCAUUCGAAACUGGCAGGCUAGAGUCUUGUAGAGGGGGGUAGAAUUCCAGGUGUAGCGGUGAAAUGCGUAGAGAUCUGGAGGAAUACCGGUGGCGAAGGCGGCCCCCUGGACAAAGACUGACGCUCAGGUGCGAAAGCGUGGGGAGCAAACAGGAUUAGAUACCCCUGUAGUC
rnacentral:rRNA from 1 species